rnacentral:rRNA from 1 species
AGCGAACGCUGGCGGCAGGCCUAACACAUGCAAGUCGAGCGCCGUAGCAAUACGGAGCGGCAGACGGGAGAGUAACACGUGGGAACGUACCCUUCGGUUCGGAACAACCCAGGGAAACUUGGGCUAAUACCGGAUACGUCCGAAAGGAGAAAGAUUUAUCGCCAAAGGAUCGGCCCGGCUCUGAUUAGCUAGGUGGGGGAGUAAUGGCUUCACAAGGCGACCAUCCAUAGCUGGUCUUGGAGGAUGAACAGGCUCAACGGGAACGAGACCCGGCCCAAGACUCCACGGGGGGCCAGAGGGGGGGAUUUUGGGAAAUGGGCGCAAAGCUGAUCCAGCCCAUCCGCGUGGGGUAAGAAGGCCCUAGGGUUGUAAAACCCUUUCCGGGGGGAAGAUAAUGACGGUACCCGCAGAAGAAGCCCCGGCUAACUUCGUGCCAGCAGCCGCCGUAACAC